rnacentral:rRNA from 1 species
AGCUUUAGGGCUAGCCUCGAUGUAAAAGUUAAAUGGUUGUAGAGCACUGAUUGGACAAGGGGCCCAACAAGGUUACCAAAUCCAUUCAAACUCCGAAUGCCGUUUAAUGUUCAUCGGGAGUCAGACUAUGUGGGAUAAGCUUCAUAGUCAAAAGGGAAACAGCCCAGACCACCAGAUAAGGUCCCAAAGUAUAUGCUAAGUGGAAAAGGAAGUGAGAUCGCACAGACAACCAGGAUGUUGGCUUAGAAGCAGCCACUCAUUUAAAGAGUGCGUAAUAGCUCACUGGUCAAGCGGUUUUGCGCCGAAAAUGUAACGGGGCUAAAGCAUAUCACCGAAGCUGUGGAUUUAUGAUUGUAUUAGUAUAAUUGUAAGUGGUAGAGGAGCAUUGUGUACGGAACGAAGCUGUACCGUAAGGAGCAGUGGACUGUACAGAAGAGAGAAUGCCGGUAUGAGUAACGAAAAAAGGAGUGAGAAUCUCCUUCGCCGAAAGUCUAAGGAUUCCUGGGGAAGGCUCGUCCUCUCAGGGUUAGUCGGGACCUAAGCCGAGGCCGAAAGGCGUAGGUGAUGGAAAAUCUGUAAAGAUUCAGAUACCACUAUAAAUUGUUUGAGUGAGGUGGGGACGCGGCAAAGAGAGUGGAGCGUGUGACUGGAAGAACACGUAUAAGCUAUAGAGUCAGGGUAAGGAGGCAAAUCCCUUUACCCGCUAAUGACUUUUAGUGAUGUGGAGCCAAUUGAGGUGAAGCCACUUAAUGAGUCGCCAAGAAAAACCACUAACGAGAUUUAUAGUGCCCGUACCGCAAACCGACACAGGUAGACGGGAAGAGAAUUCUAAGGCGCGCGAGAGAACCCUUGUUAAGGAACUCGGCAAAAUGACCCCGUAACUUCGGGAGAAGGGGUACCCAUUAGCAUUAGCUAGUGGGUCGCAGUGAAAAGAUCCAAGCGACUGUUUAUCAAAAACACAGGUCUCUGCUAAGUCGUAAGACGAAGUAUAGGGGCUGACGCCUGCCCGGUGCUGGAAGGUCAAGGAGAAGGCUUAGUGCUUGCCACGAAGGUCUGAACCUAAGCCCCAGUAAACGGCGGCCGUAACUAUAACGGUCCUAAGGUAGCGAAAUUCCUUGUCGGGUAAGUUCCGACCUGCACGAAUGG